GCCCGUCAUGUUGUGUCAACACAAAGAGCACGUGGAGAUAAUUCAAACUUCCACGCAAGUGAUGGAUGACAGUGAAUUGAUCGUGAUUUUGAAUAGACCUGUGGUGCACAAGAGACGGCCUGACGAUGACUGCACGGAGGAUCAGUUGUCAGUCGUCCGAUGAUUGGCCAACCACCGUGAAUUGAACGGAUCGUAUUCCUAAUGCAGGCGCAGAUUUCUUGCUCACAGCAAAUACACGGUCUUUACUUCGAUAUCCAAACUGAAACCUUACGACAACUCUUUAUUAGAUAAAAACAACGUCUAGCUAUUAUUAUUAUUUUUUCCCCACUACCUUAAUCAAUAAAUUAAAUUGCGUUAA